rnacentral:lncRNA from 1 species
AUGCCCAGCACUCUACUCACAUCACUCUCCUCUCUUUACAAGAACCUAGGAAACUCUUUUCUGGACCAGGAGUUAGCAACAGUGAUGACAAAUACCUCUUUUGGGGCAAGAUGCUUGACAAAAUGGACAAGUACUAUUUACAGGUGGUUUUAGAUGCGAUAUGUUAAUUAGACCGUUUCUGCCUGAGCCCAGGACUGGUUUGGCCACAGAAACAGUUUUGGUAAUCCUGAUAGAAUGUCAGAACAGAAUGAGAUAAUACAGCACAAUAUCCAGCAAGAUACUACUGUCCAAAAUAUCUUGCUGGAUUAGUUGUACAGAUUAGAUGCCCGAGUUGUCAUGCCACAGUAGUUCUUCUCUUAAGGACUGAUUAUAAAAGGUGGCACUGUGGGAUUUCUGCUGAACUUGGCAGCACGUUCCAUUCUAUGCACUGAGCCCUGUACUAUGUACUGUACAGGAAGCCACUGGGUGAAUUUAUCUGACAAUCACAGAAGGAACAUGUUGGCAAAUAACAACAACAAACUGUGGAACUCAGAAAUAGCAUUUAACCAGUUUUGCAUGGGAUUGGAGUCCAUCUGAAAGAACAUGUUUGAAGCUGGGUGGUUCUAGACCCAGUUUCUCAACUAAGGCAAAAUUCAGCUGCCGCUAUUUUAAACAGCACUGUCAGGGUAGUUAAUACAAGUCCAAUCUUAAAAACAGUGCAGUGGUUGCCAUAAAAAAAAAUUAAGAACAUUUACACAAAGGCAAUUUUUACAGAUCCAUAUCCCGUUCUCUUUGUAUUAGACUGUAAUAACAGUGUACAAUUCAAUGGCCAGAAUCUUACUUAUUUACACUGGCAAUAACUUCACCACGGUAAAUUGCUGAAUGCAACUGUUGCAUGAUAGCAAAUGCUUACACUGUCUUCUUAACUUACUGGUAGUUCUUUGCUGAAAUGUAUGUUGACGGAGUUACUACAGAUGUAUAGUGUCCUGCAGGAGUGAGGGAGUCUCUUGCAAGGCAAAAAUUGCACAAAAUGAGGUUUGUUACUAGACAUGUGCACAGUGAACAUUUCCAUUUUUGUUUUGUUUUGGGUUCUUUCAAAGGGGGCCUCUUCUGUUUUCAUUUUUUCCCCACACGGCUCUCCAUUGUUUUGACAUGAGAGACCACCUUUUUUCAGAUUCUUUUCUCUGAAUAAAAAAGAAGA